rnacentral:rRNA from 1 species
UGGGGAAUAUUGCACAAUGGGCGCAAGCCUGAUGCAGCCAUGCCGCGUGUGUGAAGAAGGCCUUCGGGUUGUAAAGCACUUUCAGCGAGGAGGAAGGUGGUGAACUUAAUACGUCAUCAAUUGACGUUACUCGCAGAAGAAGCACCGGCUAACUCCGUGCCAGCAGCCGCGGUAAUACGGAGGGUGCAAGCGUUAAUCGGAAUUACUGGGCGUAAAGCGCACGCAGGCGGUUUGUUAAGUCAGAUGUGAAAUCCCCGGGCUCAACCUGGGAACUGCAUUUGAAACUGGCAAGCUAGAGUCUCGUAGAGGGGGGUAGAAUUCCAGGUGUAGCGGUGAAAUGCGUAGAGAUCUGGAGGAAUACCGGUGGCGAAGGCGGCCCCCUGGACGAAGACUGACGCUCAGGUGCGAAAGCGUGGGGCAGCAAACAGGAUUAGAUACCCUGGUAGUCCACGCUGUAAACGAUGUCGAUUUUGGAGGUUGUGCCCCUUGAGGCGUGGCUUCCGGAGCUAACGCGUUAAAUCGACCGCC